rnacentral:lncRNA from 1 species
AGAAAAACUCAUUCUUAUAUUUGUUUACAAUUCACAGAUUCCAACAACAUCACCAAAUCAAGGUUACUCUAAUUUCCCCUACUUCUAUCUACUAAUUCGAAACCAAGCAUCACAGAUCAGCAGCAAAUACACACGCUCACGCACACUUUCUUUUACUAUAUUUUCUGUAUUAUAUGACUACAAGAUGUGUUUGGGUAAGGAAAUACAAGAAUAGAAAGAACAAAUUUUGAAAACCUAAGUGCUCUAUGUGUAAACUGAAAAUUUGAGCUUUUUGUGUCUCUGUGUGCGUGUGACCGGGGACGGAGGGAAGAGUGAGAGCAGCCGGCGGCUGUUCACGGCCGGAGACGGCGCGGCGGCAAGCCACCGCCUUUUUCCUUUUCUGUCUGAAACGACCGAGAGAGAGAGAGAGAGAGAGAUUAAGUUUUUUUUUAAAAAAAAGGGGAAGAGAGAGAGAGAGAAGGGAGGACUCAUCUUCUCCGGUGACGACGACGCGGCGGCAUCGGCAGCGGCGACACGGCGGCGGAAGCACCAUGGUUGUUCUGUUCGGACGGAAAAGAGGAAAAGAGGAAAAGAGGUCAGAUUUGGUUAGAAAAAAAAGAAAAGAGGAGAAAGGAGGAAGUUUUGGAGCCUACCUUUCCGGCGAGGCAAAGCUCGGCCUCCACCGCGAUUUCAGCCACGACGGACGACGGCGGAGGCGGCAGUGACACGCGAAGGCGGCGGCGUGCGGCUGACUUCCGGCGAGGAAGAGUGAGAGAGGUGAAGAAAGAACAGAGAGACGAGAGGGAGAGAAGAGGUGACCGAGGGAGUGAGGGGGAGAGCGGAGAGUCCGACGAGGCGGCGCGCCGGAGGCGGCGCCGCACUCGACCGAACAGAGCAGAGAGAGGGAGAGAGCCGGGAGAGAGAGAGAGAAUGAGGCUGUGUGUGUAUUUGUGUAUUAUGUGUGUGUUGUAGGAUUAGGGCUUUAUUUUUAUUUGGGCUUAAGCCUCUAAUGGUUGGGCCGAGUUUUUUAAAAAAAAAGGGAGAAGGGAAUGGGCCGUUUCUUUUAGUGUACUGGGCCUUUUGAUUUUAAAAGCUGAUGGGUUUUGAUUUAAAUUGAUUGGGCCUCAAUUUAAUUAAUUUUUGGGCUGUUAUAGAUUAUUAAAGUCUACGAAUUUUAGCCUAAUUUCUUGUGUAAAUGUUUGAAUUUUCACUAAAUUAUUUUAGUGAAUUUAAAUCUCUUGAUUUAAAUUUUUAAUAUUGAAAGUUGAGACUAUUUAUUUUAAAUGGAGUCCGUUUUUUUUAUUUAAAUUUAUUGAUGGACUUAAAAGAAAUAUUUUGGGAUUAAGCCCUCAUUUAUUAUAAUACUUCUAGGCCUUAUGAGUAUGGAUUUCUGAAAGGAUUAAAAUGAUUUAUUUAAGUUAUUGUAAAGGAAUAAUGGUGCAUGAUUUCUUUUAUCUUGUUUGAUUAUGUGAUUUACGUGAGGUCAUGAUUAAUCAAGUUUAUGUUGGUUUUUAAUUGUCUUAAUGGAACGAACUAUGGAUGCUAGAACCCUAAAACUUUAAAAGAUACCUUAGGCACGUAGAAUUAGACUUUGUCUUAUGACAAUUUCUUCACGAACUUAUCGAUUCUUCAUCAAUGAAGGUCCGGGCGACAGAAAGUGAAGCCGAAGAAGUAGCGACUCCACGCCAGCUUUAAGAACCUUUAAGGUGGGCAUUAUUUUAUUAUUACGUAUAUAGAGAUCCCCUGCGUGAAGUAGGCCUCGUAUGCGAAUAUAUAUGCAUGAUAUGAUUUAACUGUUUAAUUCAGUUUUAUGAAAUGCCCAAACGAUAAAUGACUCUUAUGAAAUGAAAAUGAAAAUGUUUAUGGAAAUGAAAUGUUACGAAAUGAUUGACUGCCAAAAAUGUUUAUGUUUUUAUAUGUAUCCUAUCUGUGUUGGUUCGCCAACUUUAAAGGAAAUCCAAUUGGGAUCCUAUGCUAGACAAAGGUCGCUAGCUAGGGUUAACGUGUACACUUAUGGAGACCGCGAGUCGCUUGCGACCGGUCUUGGCGUCCGUGGUAAGGAGGCCUCCUUCCCGGCGCGUGACAGAAAGGACAGAUAUGGAUCAUAUAGACUGAAAAUGGGAUGCAUCCACCUUUAUGAAAAUGAAAGAAAUAUUUUAGUAAGCGCAGGUCAUUCAAGAAAACCCCUGUGUGUUACUGUUGGCAGUUCAAUUUAUAUAUGUAUGCAUGUUUGUUUUUCGGCUUAUGCCACUGAGUAUUUUUAUACUCAGCCCUGCAUGUAUUUCUAAAUGUGCAGGUUGAGCAGGCGAUGGAAUGGUUUGGUGUUGAGCGGGAAUUCUUUUGAUGGAUAUGUAAUGAAACCUUGAGUAUGCAUCUCCAUAUGCAUAACUCACACGUUUUUCCGCUGCAAACACUCUGAAUUCAUUAUCGUAUUGUGGAACUUAUUACUCUUUCAUUUUGCUUAACUUUCACUUGUUCUAGUUGUUAUGGCAUAAUCGUCUGUAAAUUACCCAACCAGUUGUUUAUGUAUUACUAGUUGGUUGAUUAAAUAUUACCUCCUUGGAAUUCGUGUCUAAUCCCCUUUCUUUCCCGCUUCUGAAUUCCCACCCCGAGUCAUAACCCCGGUUAAUCCGUCCUUAGGGAUAAGGGGGCUGUGACAG